UCAUGUCACAUGAGAACUCAUGGUUGGGAUAAUGCAAAGUAGUCCUUUGACCUGAGGCAUCACAGUUGUCUUAUGGUUAAGUACUUGAUCUUUGAUUAUGUCAAACGUCAUUCCAUUGGAGUGUCCACGGCAUCAUUGGGGUUAAGCCACUUAGCCAUGGAGGCAAGUGAAUGCGCAACAAGGGAUCUCUAACCUUCAAACCGUUUGAGGGAGAAUACUCUAUGAUAUGAUUUAGAACCUCUGGCCAGAGUAUGAAUGAGAUUUAGAAAUGUCGUUCUAAAUCACAUUCAAGGUAAUCAUAUAAGCACACGAAUCACAAUGGAUAGUAGACAUGAAUAAAUAAACUAUCAAACCAAACAAUGUGGUCAAGAGUAUUAGAUUAGAGAAAGACCGUAUUGCAUUUGUAAUCCUAAACUGAAUAGGUUCUCCACCUCUUCUGAUUAGCUUGGGUAACCAUGAUAUGUUGCUAGGUGUCACUCUUGGUUUGUGGAAACCCUAAACGUGUAUAAUCACUAAAGGGAGAAUUGAAAAUAAGUUUCAAUUCACAAUCGAUGUAAAAUGGUUUUAAUCGCCCACUGCCUCGCUAAAAGGAACCUAAUGGAUCGCACACCCGUGUAAGGUGGAGAUUGAAGAAACAAUGGAGAUGAGUAAGAAUGAUUAAAUGGUUUAAUUCUUUAUUUAUGGCAAGGAUUAAUUAAUAUGUUAAUUAAUCAAACGAAUAAGUUCGUUAAAGACCUCGGGAUAGUUUUGGACGUUUAGGCCUAAUGGGCUUCGAACGUCAAGCCCAUUGACUUAAGUUGUAUGACAACUUAAUUCACAAAAGCCCAAAAGCCCAAAC
rnacentral:lncRNA from 1 species